rnacentral:rRNA from 1 species
UUUUUGAAAUAAAAAUCGUAACAAGGUCUCCGUUGGUGAACCAGCGGAGGGAUCAUUA